AAUGAACGCUGGCGGCGCGCCUAAUACAUGCAAGUCGAGCGAGAAGACGUAGCAAUACGUUUGUAAAGCGGCGAACGGGUGAGGAAUACAUGGGUAACCUACCCUCGAGUGGGGAAUAACUAGCCGAAAGGUUAGCUAAUACCGCGUACGCUCCUUGGACUUCGGUUCAGGGAGGAAAGCGAUACCGUGGGUAUCGCGCUCUUGGAUGGGCUCAUGUCCUAUCAGCUUGUUGGNGAGGUAACGGCUCACCAAGGCUUCGACGGGUAGCUGGUCUGAGAGGACGAUCAGCCACACUGGCACUGCGACACGGGCCAGACUCCUACGGGAGGCAGCAGUAAGGAAUAUUGCGCAAUGGGCGAAAGCCUGACGCAGCGACGCCGCGUGGGGGAUGAAGGUCUUCGGAUUGUAAACCCCUUUCGGG
rnacentral:rRNA from 1 species